rnacentral:rRNA from 1 species
CGGUCAACAGAGGGAGGCAAAACCGCGAGGUGGAGCAAAUCCCAAAAAUAAACGUCCCAGUUCGGAUUGUAGUCUGCAACUCGACUACAUGAAGCUGGAAUCGCUAGUAAUCGCGAAUCAGCAUGUCGCGGUGAAUACGUUCCCGGGUCUUGUACACACCGCCCGUCACACCAUGGGAGUCGGUAACGCCCGAAGUCAGUGACCCAACCGGAAGGAGGGAGCUGCCGAAGGCGGGACUGGUAACUGGGGUGAAGUCGUAACAAGGUAAC